GAUGAACGCUGGCGGCGUGCCUAAUACAUGCAAGUCGAGCGAACGGACGAGAAGCUUGCUUCUCUGAUGUUAGCGGCGGACGGGUGAGUAACACGUGUAUAGCCUACCUAUAAGACUGGGAUAACUUCGGGAAACCGGAGCUAAUACCGGAUAAUAUUUUGAACCGCAUGGUUCAAAAGUGAAAGACGGUCUUGCUGUCACUUAUAGAUGGAUCCGCGCUGCAUUAGCUAGUUGGUAAGGUAACGGCUUACCAAGGCAACGAUGCAUAGCCGACCUGAGAGGGUGAUCGGCCACACUGGAACUGAGACACGGUCCAGACUCCUACGGGAGGCAGCAGUAGGGAAUCUUCCGCAAUGGGCGAAAGCCUGACGGAGCAACGCCGCGUGAGUGAUGAAGGUCUUCGGAUCGUAAAACUCUGUUAUUAGGGAAGAACAUAUGUGUAAGUAACUGUGCACAUCUUGACGGUACCUAAUCAGAAAGCCACGGCUAACUACGUG
rnacentral:rRNA from 1 species